rnacentral:lncRNA from 1 species
UAUUUUUUGUUUAAAAAACUAUAUAAUUUUAUCAAGUAUCUACGCUAUUGAAAGUAUUUGAAAUUAAUUUUAUAAUUUUUUGACAUCAUUUACCUAUCAAAUGAUUAGUUCAAAAAUAAACGAUUAAGAAUAAAAAUCUCAUAAAAAAUAAUGAUAAAAUACUUGAAUUUAAGCAAAGAUACUUAUCUCAGUGAAAAAAAAAUUUAUAAAAAUUUUAUCAGAUUUAGAUUGUUUUACACUGUUAAGUUUACAAAUACAUCACAUCGACCAUUAAAAUUAUCAAUUUUGAAAUAUUUUGAUCACUAACCAAAUAAUGUCGAAAAACUAUAGAAUUUAGUUUUCAAAUAUUUUCAAAAGUGUAGAUAGAGCAGUACUAUUAUGAUAGAGCAGUACUAUUUAUAUAUCUACAUAUUAAGUGUAAAUUUUACAUUUUAGCCUCUCCCAUGUUCAUAUUUACUCACUUAUUUUAUUAAUUUUUUUAUACAAAAAAUUUUAAAAAUUUUAAAUUUUUGGAUGAUGGAAUAUAAAAUUUACAUAUUAUUACGGUAAAACAUAGCGAAAGUAAUUGUUCGUACCUAUUGUGAAAGCGACUCGCAUUAGAAUGUGAUGAGUCUGGAUCGUAGAAAUUGAUUCACGUGUUCUCGAGUUGUUCAUUAAGGUCUUCUAACGCUCCAAAUCCGUUGUAGAUUGACCUAUGAACAAAUACGAUCUGUAAUCCACCGUUUAAAAUCCUCUAAAAGCAAUAGGUUAAUGGAUUCUCUCUCUAAUAAUAUGACUUACAAAUUACUCAUGAAUUUAUGAAUAUUUUUUUUUCUUGUAUUUUAUCUAUAAGAGAAUAGCUGUAUAUUUAUAAAAGGGAUAUCAAAAUUUUAAGGGUGUGUUUGGUUCGAGUUAUUCUGA